GACGAAGGAUGCAAGCGUUAUCCGGAUUCAUUGGGUUUAAAGGGUGCGUAGGCGGCCAACUAAGUCAGACGUGAAAUCCCUCGGCUUAACCGGGGAACUGCGUCUGAUACUGGAUGGCUUGGGUUUGGGAGAGGGAUGCGGAAUUCCAGGUGUAGCGGUGAAAUGCGUAGAUAUCUGGAGGAACACCGAUGGCGAAGGCAGCCUUCUGGGCCAACACUGACGCUCAUGCACGAAAGCGUGGGGAGCAAACAGG
rnacentral:rRNA from 1 species